CUGUGAACUGUUCUACUACUUGACGCAAGUCGAGUAUUCCUUACAAACAAUGUGUAAUGAACGUCGUUUUAUUAUAACAAAAUAAAACUUUCAACAACGGAUCUCUUGGCUCUCGCAUCGAUGAAGAACGCAGCGAAUUGCGAUAAGUAAUGUGAAUUGCAGAAUUCAGUGAAUCAUCGAAUCUUUGAACGCAGCUUGCGCUCUCUGGUAUUCCGGAGAGCAUGCCUGUUUCAGUGUCAUGAAAUCUCAACCACUAGGGUUUCCUAAUGGAUUGGAUUUGGGCGUCUGCGAUUUCUGAUCGCUCGCCUUAAAAGAGUUAGCAAGUUUGACAUUAAUGUCUGGUGUAAUAAGUUUCACUGGGUCCAUUGUGUUGAAGCGUGCUUCUAAUCGUCCGCAAGGACAAUUACUUUGACUCUGGCCUGAA
rnacentral:rRNA from 1 species